AUGUCCCAGAGACCCCAACCUGACCACAAGAGCACCCAGCCAAAUGUCCUUCCAGCAGCUCCCACAAAUACCCAAGAGGAGACCCAAGGCUUUCAGUCCAUUCUCCACAGUCGCCGGGUCAGCAUCCAGGAACCCCUGCCCAUUAUCCAUAAUCGCCGGGUCAGCAUCCAAGAACCUCUGCCCACUAUCCACAAUCGCCGGGUCAGCAUCCAAGAGCCUCUGAUAGUCACCAGUCACUGGGCCAGUACCCAUGACACACCAUCUGUUAUCAACAGCCGCCAAUUCAGUAUUGAGAAUGCACCAGCCACUAUUAGUGGUCACCAGGCCAGUAUCCAAGGCACACCGUCAGUUACCUACAGUCGCCGUUUCAAUACCCGAGAUGUUCCACCAAUUUUCCAAACUCCCUACAUUAACACCCAAAACUCUCCGUCAAUUACUCACACCCCAUUGUCCAAUAUGGAGUCAGUUAUCUACAAUAGCAGUCAAGCCAGUAGCAACGACAGCUGGCCAACAAGCUGGAGUCCCCAACUAAGCAUUCAAGGCCUCACAUUGCCAAACCAGGCCAGAGUCAAUGUACCCCCUUCAAUUACUCACAGCCCCACAGUCAGUGUCAAAAGCGUCGAUUCAGUCAUCUGGACCUCCCAGGAGAUUUUCAAAGACUCUGUGAACAGCUCCCAAUUCUACCAAAAUCCUCUAGACAAUAUCCAGAGCACACAGACAAGCAUAUCCACUGAGAUGGAUUCUGGCGGGUUUCAGAACAAGGGUAGACGCAGGCAUUCACAGCUGCCCCUGGCCUGGAAGCUGCUGCAUGGAGCCAAGAAGAUUAGCCGUCAGGUGAGCCUGGCACUGACCCUGGCUGGCAUGGUGAUCAUCAGUCUCAUCUCUCUGGGCCAGCCCUGGAUGCAUUUCCAGGUGCCACUUGCACCUCCUGGGCACCCUGAUGGCUCCCUGACCAUCCACAUCAACACCAUCUUCUUUAUGCACUGCCCUGACAUCUACUGUGUACAGGAGUACGACCAGAAUGCUUGGACCAGCAUGGUAUUGGGGAUCCUGUUCUACCUGAUGCAGGCCCAUGAAUUUCUACAGGAAGGCAUGACCUACAGGCUGGGGCGCAGCUUCUACCUGGCAUGGAUCAGCGUCUUUCUCUUCCUGAUGACUGGUUUCUUUUCCUAUCUGAACUACAUGAAUUUCUGGUCCAUCCUGGCGCUCCAGGCCAUCUGGACUUAG
rnacentral:lncRNA from 1 species